rnacentral:rRNA from 1 species
ACUCCUACGGGAGGCAGCAGUGAGGAAUAUUGGACAAUGGGCGCAAGCCUGAUCCAGCCAUGCCGCGUGCAGGAAGACUGCCCUAUGGGUUGUAAACUGCUUUUGUACGGGAAGAAACACCCCUCGUGAGGGGGCUUGACGGUACCGUAAGAAUAAGGAUCGGCUAACUCCGUGCCAGCAGCCGCGGUAAUACGGAGGAC